UGGGAACAUUGCUGCAAAGCUCCAGGAGUGAGAGCGCACAGCAAGGGCAAGGCCUGGGGCGGGCAGACAGACAGAUGGAUGGAUGGACAGACUGCAUCCUGAGGACAGACAGGGGGGGGAUGGAGAGGAGAGGAGAGGAGAGGAGAGCUCCCGCCGUGCAUUGCAUUAUACAUAUUUUCACCUCCGAUCCAUGGAUAAAAUUAAACAAUCAUUUGCAUGAACGUAUCGCUUUCCUUUGUCGAGCUCUGGGAAAAUGCUGAUGUCAGUGACACAGCACUGCCCGCCCUGCAGCCCCGUCCGUGUCCCCCUGUCCCCGUGUCCCCCUGUCCCCAUGUUCCCAUGUCCCCAUGUCUCCAUAUCCCUCCGUCUCCCUAUGUCCCCCUGUCUCCAUAUCCCUCCGUCUCCCUAUGUCCC
rnacentral:lncRNA from 1 species